AGAGUUUGAUCCUGGCUCAGGACGAACGCUGGCGGCGUGCUUAACACAUGCAAGUCGAACGAGGCAGCGGCCUUCGGGCCGUUGUCUAGUGGCGAACGGGUGAGUAACACGUGAGGAACCUGCCCCGGAGACCGGGAUAACCAGGGGAAACCCUGGCUAAUACCGGAUGCCCUCGGAUGGUCGCAUGGCCGACCGAGAAAACGCUCCGGUGCUCCGGGAGGGUCUCGCGGCCUAUCAGCUUGUUGGUUGGGGUAACGGCCCACCAAGGCAUCGACGGGUAGCUGGUCUGAGAGGACGGUCAGCCACACUGGGACAGAGACACGGCCCAGACUCCUACGGGAGGCAGCAGUGGGGAAUAUUGCGCAAUGGGCGAAAGCCUGACGCAGCAACGCCGCGUGGGGGAUGACGGCCUUCGGG
rnacentral:rRNA from 1 species